rnacentral:rRNA from 1 species
UACGUAGGGUGCGAGCGUUAAUCGGAAUUACUGGGCGUAAAGCGUGCGCAGGCGGCUUCGCAAGUCAGACGUGAAAUCCCCGGGCUUAACCUGGGAAUGGCGUUUGAAACUACGGAGCUGGAGUAUGGCAGAGGGGGGUGGAAUUCCACGUGUAGCGGUGAAAUGCGUAGAUAUGUGGAGGAACACCGAUGGCGAAGGCAGCCCCCUGGGAUGUGACUGACGCUCAUGUACGAAAGCGUGGGGAGCAAACAGG